AUUGAACGCUGGCGGCAGGCCUAACACAUGCAAGUCGAACGCGUGGCGGACGGGGGAGUAAUGUCUGGGAACCUGCCUGAUGGAGGGGGAUAACUACUGGAAACGGUAGCUAAUCCCGCAUACCAUCAGAUGUUCCCAGAUGGGAUUAGCUUGUUGUUGGGGUAACGGCUCACCAAGGCGACGAUCCCUAGCUGGUCUGAGAGGAUGACCAGCCACACGGGAACUGAGACACGGGCCAGACUCCGACGGGAGGCAGCAGUGGGGAAUAGUGCACAAGGGGCGCAAGCGUGAUGCAGACAUGCCGAGUGUAUGAAGAAGGCCGUCGGGUUGUAAAGUACUUUCAGCGGGGAGGCGUUACCCGCAGAAGAAGCACCGGCUAACUCCGUGCCAGCCGCCGCGGUAAUAC
rnacentral:rRNA from 1 species